UCUCGUGACUGCGUGCCUUUUGAAGAAUGAGCCUGCGAGUUUGCGGUGUGUUGCGAGGUUAACCCGGGUGGGGAAGCCGUAGCGAAAGCGAGUCCGAAUAGGGCGAUUUUAGUAGCACGCUCAAGACCCGAAGCGGAGUGAUCUAGCCAUGGGCAGGUUGAAGCGGAGGUAAGACUUCGUGGAGGACCGAACCCACCAGGGUUGAAAACCUGGGGGAUGACCUGUGGUUAGGGGUGAAAGGCCAAUCAAACUCCGUGAUAGCUGGUUCUCCCCGAAAUGCAUUUAGGUGCAGCGUCGUGUGUUUCUUGCCGGAGGUAGAGCACUGGAUAGGCGAUGGGCCCUACCGGGUUACUGACCUUAGCCAAACUCCGAAUGCCGGUAAGUGAGAGCGCGGCAGUGAGACUGUGGGGGAUAAGCUCCAUGGUCGAGAGGGAAACAGCCCAGAGCAUCGACUAAGGCCCCUAAGCGUACGCUAAGUGGGAAAGGAUGUGGAGUCGCAGAGACAACCAGGAGGUUGGCUUAGAAGCAGCCACCCUUGAAAGAGUGCGUAAUAGCUCACUGGUCUAGUGAUUCCGCGCCGACAAUGUAGCGGGGCUCAAGCGUACCGCCGAAGUCGUGUCAUUGCAGCAUAAGCCCCAACGGGUGUUGUGAUGGGUAGGGGAGCGUCGUCUGCCGGGUGAAGCGGCACUGGAAGGUAGUCGUGGACGGUUGACGAGUGAGAAUGCAGGCAUGAGUAGCGAUACAAACGUGAGAAACGUUUGCGCCGAUUGACUAAGGGUUCCUGGGUCAAGCUGAUCUGCCCAGGGUAAGUCGGGACCUAAGGCGAGGCCGACAGGCGUAGUCGAUGGAUAACCGGUUGAUAUUCCGGUACCCGCUGUGAAGCGUCAAACAUCGAGCAUCGUGAUGCUAAGGCCGUGAAGCCGUUCCGGACCCUUCGGGGAAUGGAAAGUGGUGGAGCCGCCGGACCAAGCGGUUAGUAGGUGAGUGAUGGGGUGACGCAGGAAGGUAGUCCAUCCCGGGCGGUGGUUGUCCCGGGGUAAGGGUGUAGGACGCAAGGUAGGCAAAUCCGCCUUGCACAUAGUCUGAGACCUGAUGCCGAGCCGAUUGUGGUGAAGUGGAUGAUCCUAUGCUGUCGAGAAAAGCCUCUAGCGAGUUUCAUGGCGGCCCGUACCCUAAACCGACUCAGGUGGUCAGGUAGAGAAUACCGAGGCGUUCGGGUGAACUAUGGUUAAGGAACUCGGCAAAAUGCCCCCGUAACUUCGGGAGAAGGGGGGCCACACCUGGUGAUGAGCUUUACGCUCUGAGCUGGGGGUGGCCGCAGAGACCAGCGAGAAGCGACUGUUUACUAAAAACACAGGUCCGUGCGAAGCCGUAAGGCGAUGUAUACGGACUGACGCCUGCCCGGUGCUGGAACGUUAAGGGGACCGGUUAGCUCACUUUCGGGUGGGCGAAGCUGAGAACUUAAGCGCCAGUAAACGGCGGUGGUAACUAUAACCAUCCUAAGGUAGCGAAAUUCCUUGUCGGGUAAGUUCCGACCUGCACGAAUGGCGUAACGACUUCUCGACUGUCUCAACCAUAGGCCCGGUGAAAUUGCACUACGAGUAAAGAUGCUCGUUUCGCGCAGCAGGACGGAAAGACCCCGGGACCUUUACUACAGUUUGAUAUUGGUGUUCGGUUCGGCUUGUGUAGGAUAGCUGGGAGACUGUGAAGCUCGCACGCCAGUGUGGGUGGAGUCGUCGUUGAAAUACCAGUCUGGUCGUGCUGGAUGUCUAACCUGGGUCCGUGAUCCGGAUCAGGGACAGUGUCUGAUGGGUAGUUUAACUGGGGCGGUUGCCUCCUAAAGGGUAACGGAGGCGCCCAAAGGUUCCCUCAGCCUGGUUGGCAAUCAGGUGUUGAGUGUAAGUGCACAAGGGAGCUUGACUGUGAGACCGACGGGUCGAGCAGGGACGAAAGUCGGGACUAGUGAUCCGGCGGUGGCUUGUGGAAGCGCCGUCGCUCAACGGAUAAAAGGUACCCCGGGGAUAACAGGCUGAUCUUCCCCAAGAGUCCAUAUCGACGGGAUGGUUUGGCACCUCGAUGUCGGCUCGUCGCAUCCUGGGGCUGGAGUCGGUCCCAAGGGUUGGGCUGUUCGCCCAUUAAAGCGGUACGCGAGCUGGGUUUAGAACGUCGUGAGACAGUUCGGUCCCUAUCCGCUGUGCGCGUAGGAGUCUUGAGAAGGGCUGUCCCUAGUACGAGAGGACCGGGACGGACGAACCUCUGGUGUGCCAGUUGUUCUGCCAAGGGCAUGGCUGGUUGGCUACGUUCGGGAGGGAUAACCGCUGAAAGCAUCUAAGCGGGAAGCCUGCUUCGAGAUGAGGACUCCCACCCACUUGAUGGGGUAAGGCUCCCAGUAGACGACUGGGUUGAUAGGCCGGAUCUGGAAGCACGGUAACGUGUGGAGGUGACCGGUACUAAUAGGCCGAGGGCUUGUCCG
rnacentral:rRNA from 1 species